UCCUUGGUGCUGGGAUAUAAAACACAGAUC
rnacentral:piRNA from 1 species